rnacentral:rRNA from 1 species
CACUUAUAGUAAUAAUUAUAAGCUUAACCUGCUCAAUGACAAUUUAAAUAGCCGCAGUUUACUGUGCUAAGGUAGCGUAAUCACUUGUCUUUUAAUUAAGGACCCGUAUGAAAGGUUACACAUUUGACGACUUUCUCAACUACCCUUAAAUCAAAUUAUUUUAAGUAUUAAAAAAUACUUAUACUUAAAAAAGACGACAAGACCCUAUCAAACUUUCACUAAAGUUCAGCUGGGGCAGCUAUAAAAUAAAAAUUUCCUAAUAUUUCACCUAUACCUAAAUUAAACACCCAGACCUGCUAAAAGCAAUAAUUGGAUUAAGUUACUGUAGGGAUAACAGCACAAUAAUUUUCAAAAGCUCCUAUCCAAAAAAAAGAUUGUGACCUCGAUGUUGAAUUAAUUAACCUAAAAGAUGCAACCAUCUUUAUCAGUAAGUCUGUUCGACUUUUAAAAAAUUACG